ACUCCCAGCCCACCACCCAUGCCCACCAACCCCCUGAUCCGCUCCACCUUCCCUCCUCCUGCCCCCGAGCCGCCCCACACCACCAAAGCGAUGCCGGAGCCCCACCCCACCACGUGUCGCCGGAGCCCCGCCCAACCACGCGCCAGCGGAGCCCCGCCCCGCCGCGCCACGCGCCGCUAGAGCCCCGCCGCACCACUCGCCGCGACUCCCCACUGCGUCACACCUCCUCCCGCCAUGGCCAACACCUCCAGAUUCCGGCUAGCCAUGGCCUCCCCGCGACGCGCCGCCGAUGGAUCCAGCCAUCCACGGCCUACUCGCGUCACGCCGCCAGUGGAUCCAGCCAUCCACGGCCUCCCUUGAUGCGCCGUCGCCGGAUCCAACCAUCCCGAGCACCGCCCCGCCAUGGUGGUUGGGCUUCCCUUGACCCCCCCUCCCUCCGGCACCGGCCAGCGCCACGCCCGGACCUGACCCCUCCCUGUUCCUCCAUCUCCUCCCUCCCAUCCCGCUGCAUCUCUCCCCUGCUCUUCCUAUCUGACGACAGCCCAAAAUCCAUGCCUCUCGAGCCGCCCCGGGGUCCUCCUCUCCUUCCACAGCCAAACGUAGGUCGGGCGCAUUGUCUCCGACCUCCUUCGGCAUCCACGGCCACGGCGCCACCCCCGGACAUCGGCGCAUGACGUGCGUGUGUGCAGUUCGGUGUGAGCUCAAACGAAGACACAAAUCAGUCCAGUAUGUUCUCUGAUGCAGAAAAAUGGAGGAGAAACCAAUUAUAAAAAAGAAACACAAGACGCAGUUUGGUCUCUCUCGGUGGACUCUCUCUCCUGCUUACAGUUCUUUAAGAGUUUGAUUGAUGUCCUGCAUUGUGGGUCAUGGAGUUUGAUUGAUGUCUUAGUAAAGUUCAUAAAGAAUUGUCUGUUUAGAUUUGCAAUGCAGUGCACAAUAUAGAGGAGUUUACUUUUGUAAAAAAAUUAUACAGAGAAGUUCACUUUUUAUUAUUUUUUGGAGGAAUUGUUUUGCAAAAUAUGGUGUAUAAUUUCUUAAAAUCGAUGCAGCUCACUAAGAACA